GAACCUGCGGAAGGAUCAUUACCGAGUGCGGGCCCUCUGGGUCCAACCUCCCAUCCGUGUCUAUCUGUACCCUGUUGCUUCGGCGUGGCCACGGCCCGCCGGAGACUAACAUUUGAACGCUGUCUGAAGUUUGCAGUCUGAGUUUUUAGUUAAACAAUCGUUAAAACUUUCAACAACGGAUCUCUUGGUUCCGGCAUCGAUGAAGAACGCAGCGAAAUGCGAUAAUUAAUGUGAAUUGCAGAAUUCAGUGAAUCAUCGAGUCUUUGAACGCACAUUGCGCCCCCUGGUAUUCCGGGGGGCAUGCCUGUCCGAGCGUCAUUGCUGCCCUCAAGCACGGCUUGUGUGUUGGGCUUCCGUCCCUGGCAACGGGGACGGGCCCAAAAGGCAGUGGCGGCACCAUGUCUGGUCCUCGAGCGUAUGGGGCUUUGUCACCCGCUCCCGUAGGUCCAGCUGGCAGCUAGCCUCGCAACCAAUCUUUUUAACCAGGUUGACCUCGGAUCAGGUAGGGAUACCCGCUGAACUUAAGCAUAUCAAUAAGCGGAGGA
rnacentral:rRNA from 1 species